rnacentral:tRNA from 1 species
GUGGUUGUAGCUCAAUAGGUAGAGCAUCGGAUUGUGGUUCCGAGGGUUGCCGGUUCGAGCCCGGUCUACCACCCCA